rnacentral:rRNA from 1 species
AGAGUUUGAUCCUGGCUCAGGACGAACGCUGGCGGCGUGCCUAAUACAUGCAAGUCGAGCGGAGUAUUUCUUUCGGGAAAUGCUUAGCGGCGGACGGGUGAGUAACACGUAGGUAACCUGCCUAUCAGAUCGGGAUAACUAUCGGAAACGAUAGCUAAGACCGGAUAACUGGUUUUCUCGCAUGAGAGAAUUAUGAAACACGGAGCAAUCUGUGGCUGAUAGAUGGGCCUGCGGCGCAUUAGCUAGUUGGUGGGGUAACGGCUCACCAAGGCGACGAUGCGUAGCCGACCUGAGAGGGUGAACGGCCACACUGGGACUGAGACACGGCCCAGACUCCUACGGGAGGCAGCAGUAGGGAAUCUUCCGCAAUGGACGCAAGUCUGACGGAGCAACGCCGCGUGAGUGAUGAAGGUUUUCGGAUCG